AAAAACUAAUUCUUCCAAAAAGAGAUGAUUAUUCCUCACAAUGACCAGACAGCCUCUGCUUUCCUUUUGUUUUCUUCCAAGUGGAGAUUCAACCAUAAUAGAAAGAAUGGAGAACUAUUAACCGCCUUUCUUCGGUGGGUUGUGAUUUUCAGAGGGGAAUGUUGAGAGGUGGUUUUCAAUGUUGGGACUCAAACGUAAAGACACUAAAGGACAGAAAUCUUUGGCAGAGCUUCUUCCAGGUCAUAGAGUCUACCCCCCACCUUCUGGUGUCUCCAGAUAUGAAGCAUGAAUGAAAAUGGGAAAUUUCCUGGCCUUCCUUCUUCUCAACUUUCAUGUCUGCGUCCUUUUGCUUCAGCUGCUCAUGCCUCACUCAGCUCAGUUUGCUGUGGUUGGACCGCCUGGGCCCAUCCUGGCCAUGGUAGGUGAAGAUGCUGAUCUGCCCUGUCACCUAUUCCCAACCAUGAGCGCAGAGACCAUGGAGCUGAGGUGGGUGAGUUCCAACCUAAGGCAGGUGGUGAACGUGUAUGCAGAUGGAAAGGAAGUGGAAGACAGGCAGAGUGCAGCGUAUCGAGGGAGAACUUCGAUUCUACGGGAUGGCAUCACUGCAGGGAAGGCUGCUCUCCGAAUACACAACGUCACAGCCUCUGACAGUGGAAAGUACUUGUGUUAUUUCCAAGAUGGCGACUUCUAUGAAAAAGCCCUGGUGGAGCUGAAGGUUGCAGCACUGGGUUCUGAUCUUCACAUUGACGUGAAGGGUUAUGAGGAUGGAGGGAUCCAUCUGGAGUGCAGGUCCACUGGCUGGUACCCCCAACCCCAAAUACGGUGGAGCAACGACAAGGGAGAGAACAUCCCGGCUGUGGAAGCACCUGUGUUUGUAGAUGGAGUGGGCCUGUAUGCAGUAGCAGCAUCCGUGAUCCUGAGAGGCAGCUCUGGGGAGGGUGUUUCCUGUACCAUCAGAAGUUCCCUCCUCGGUCUGGAAAAGACAACCAGCAUUUCCAUCGCAGGCCCGUUCUUCAGGAGGGCCCAGAGCUGGAUCGCUGCCCUGGCAGGGACCCUGCCUGUCUUGCUGCUGCUUCUUGGGGGAGCUGGUUACUUCCUGUGGCGACAGCAGGAGGAAAAAAAGACUCUGUUCAGAAAGAAAAAGAGAGAGCAAGAGUUGAGAGAACUGGCAUGGAGCACAGUGAAGCAAGAAAAAAGCACAAGAGAGAAGCUCCUGGAGGAAAUCAGGUGGAGAAGUAUGCAGUACACAGUUUGGGCCACAGACUCUAUAGCCCUGCAAAGCACUGAGGAAUAUCCAGGGGCACACUUGUAAAGGAAGGGGGAAGAGGUGGAUGAAGUUCACUCUCUAUGUGGGAGAGAGACCUUCAGCCUAUAAUGAAUGGAAAAAGGCCCUCUUCAAGCCAGCGGAUGUGAUUCUGGAUCCCAAAACAGCAAACCCCAUCCUCCUUGUUUCUGAGGACCAGAGGAGUGUGCAGCGUGCCAAGGAGCCCCAGGAUCUGCCAGACAACCCUGAGAGAUUUGAUUGGCAUUAUUGUGUUCUCGGCUGUGAGAGCUUCAUGUCAGGGAGACAUUACUGGGAGGUGGAGGUAGGGGACAGGAAAGAGUGGCAUAUAGGGGUGUGUAGUAAGAAUGUGCAGAGAAAAGGUUGGGUCAAAAUGACACCUGAGAACGGAUUCUGGACUAUGGGACUGACUGAUGGGAAAAAGUAUCGGACUCUAACUGAGCCCAGAACCAACCUGGAACUUCCUGAAUCCCCUAGGAAAGUGGGGGUCUUCCUGGACUAUGAGACUGGAGAUAUCUCAUUCUACAAUGCUGUGAAUGGAUCCCAUAUUCAUACUUUCCUGGACGUCUCCUUCUCUGAGCCUCUAUAUCCUGUUUUCAGAAUUUUGACUUUGGAGCCCACUGCCCUGACCAUUUGUCCAGCGCCAAAAGAAGAAGAGAGUUCCUCCAUUCUGACCGAGUGGUGAUCAUUAGGUGUCUCCCUAGAGACACCAGUGACCCUGGGCUUAGCUAGGGAAAGUGGGGAGCCUCAGGCUGAAGUAACUUGUCUCUGCUUCUCCCUGCCCAGCUUAGAGCUGAGGGCCUCCCCCUCUACAGCAACCAAUCACAACCAUAAAGCUACAGGCACACACUGAAGCACUUUACUGAUACUCAUUCAAUUAUUCAUAUGCCAGUUGUUUGAGUUUAGUACCACCUUAUUGUCCUCUUAGACAGAUAAGGAAACUGGGGUGCAGAAAAGUGAAUUAACUUUACAAAGUAGACAUGACUACUUAAUAACAGAGCUGGGAUCUAAACAGCAGUAACUAACAUUAAUGGAGAACUUAAAAAUGUUCUGAGUGCUGUGUUAUGAGCUUUGGUGGAUGUCACUCCUUUAAUCCUCACAACAGCCUGUCAAGUAGUCUCAUUUUGCAAGUAUGGAAGCUGAGGCAGGGCAACAUUAAGUAACUUACAUAACUCAUGCAGUAAUUUGUGCAGCUGGGAGAUGGUCAGCUUCAGUCCCUGGCCAUUUGCCCAUUCUUUUCCACCGGAUUCUUCGCUGAUAGGAAGAACCCACCUGUAGCCCUGAGGUUCUUUUCCCAGGACAGCUCCAGGGUAAGGAUCAUUGUAGGUGGUUGUGGAGUUGACACUCCUGUUGACUCCUUCCCAGCUAAUUAUCAGAGCCUUAGACCCAGCACUCCUUGGAUUAGCUCUGCAGAGUGUCUUGGUUGAGAGAAUAACCUCAUAGUACUCACAUGACAUGUGACUUGGAAUGAGACUAGAGGCCCCUCGCAAUAAAUAAUGGGGCACAGAUGUGUGCCCACCCAAAAAUGUGAUAAGUGAUAUCGCAGCCAGAACCAGCCUUCUUACCGUCAAGGUUUCCAGACAGAAAAAAUACCCUAAAGACUCUCUGUGAUAUAGGAAAUUUGGAUGAAGGAAGCUAGAAGAAUUACAGGGAUGGUUUUAAUCCCACUAUGGACUCAGUCUUCUGGAAAUAGGUCUGUCCACCCCUGGUCAUUGGUGGAUGUUAAACCCAUAUUCCUUUCAACUGAUGCCUGCUAGGGAAAACUACUCCUCAUUAUCAUCACUAUUAUUGCUCACCACUGUAUCCCCUCUACUUGGCAAGUGGUUGUCAAGUUCUAGUCAUUUAAUAAAGUGUUAAUAAUGCUUACUCCUCAA